CUGGCGUGGGGGAUGAAUUGAAACAGACAGGAAUAUUCAUGCCUAGAAAUGGACUGGACCUUGAAGCUAUGGACGUGGUGAGAUGCUGUAGUAAAAAUUACCAAAUGUCAAGCUCCUUCAAGAAUGCUGAUACACUUAGCACCUGUCAUCCUGAUGGAUCCCAUAGCUAUUGACUGCAUCACUAGAAAAGUAUCUGACAGAUGCUCAAAGUUGUCAAGAAAUUGGUUGGAAGUGGCUUGAACACUAAGCAGG